rnacentral:lncRNA from 1 species
GGUGGUGGAUGACUAUCCACGUCCCUCACUUCCCGAUGAUUCAUGCUGGAUGUUUACAGCGAGACUCACAGAGGCACUCGGUGCCUCCCUCCACUGCAGGUCUUGGAAUGAGCAGAGCUGGGAGACUGCCCAAAGCGGGCACCAGGAUCCCCUGGUGUGCCAAGCCUCCCAUGAUGCUCCAGCCCUGAAGGGGUGCAGAGGGAGCUGGGGCCUGCCGGGAUGCCGAACCUGGAUGUCCAUGAGUCCGGCAAUCCUGAUCUGCCUGGAACUUUCACAACGGAGAAGGAAGAGCCAGCAACCUCUUGGGAAAAGCGCAUGGCCACCCCACCCACACCGGCUGCUGCGAACAGAGUCCCAGGAGUUCAAAUUGUAUCCAGGAAGGCUGCCAUCUCUUUCCACCAUUGAGCAGUUAUAACAAAGGUGUGUGUGGGGGGGUUUCUAACGUACUGCUCUCUUUCAGAAACUUCCCUGUUUUCCCUGAGAAGGCAGCAUCAUUGGUCCAUAUUUCCUUCCUCUUUGCACACUAAAGGUCUCGCAGUCCUGGAGCCUCCACUCCACCCUGGAGGAUGGAGGUUCACAAUGACACAUGGCGGGCAAACGCUAUGGCCCGUGAAGGAAAGGAGGAGGAAGAGAGAGAGGAGGAAAGAGAAGAGGAAGAGGAGGAGGAAGGGAAGGAGAGGGAGGAAGAGGAGAAACUUUGUGGAAAAAAAAAACCCAAAAAGUGUGCUGAGACCUGUCAUUUCUUCUUCCUAAUUAAGAGGAAUGGAUUUUAAAGCCCACCAGCCCGUGGGCCAUAGCUAACGUGGCUUGAAAGGAACGUGAUGGUCAUAUUUGAAUGCCAUCAGAAAAUGAAGGUGAUGCAAGAGUGAAUAAAGUUGAGCAUGAAUAAAGGUACAAUUUGCUACCACAGGCAAAUAUUUUGGACAAAAGAAAGAAUCCUAAUUGAAAUACAGAAAUUCAGUUCCAACUGAUUUUGGAACUGAAUUGAGAUUCGGUUUUUAAAAAUAGGAUCUGGUCACCUCUAAUUGUAAAGAUGAUGUAAAGAACAUCACAGAGUGGAAGAGAGUCCAAGAGGCUGGAGGGAAAUGCUCUGCAUUUCCACACAAGCCCUCACAGGGCUCACGGAAGUGUUCUCUGCUAUGCAUAUAAAUUCAGGGGUUGGAUAUUUUAGAAUUAAAAGUGACUCAUGCUUU